UGCCCUCCGAGCUCCGAGCUCCUCUCGUUCCUCUCAUGUUGGAAGGACCACAGCACGGAGGGUGCUGAAGGGACUACAUGGUGAACCUCAGGAUGGAGGGUCCAACCAGGGUGCUGGUGGUUCUGCUGCUGAUCUGCAACGUGGGUCCGGGACGUGGAGAAGCGGUGUGCAGCUGCAGUGGGAAGUCUCCCUGUCACUGUGAUGGGGUCAAAGGUCAGAAGGGGGAGCCCGGUUACCCUGGAUAUGACGGUUUACCUGGAGUCAUUGGUUACCCUGGAAACGAGGGUCAUCAGGGGUCAACUGGAGAGAAGGGUCAGCAGGGGGCAGCAGGGAGUCCAGGACUGAAAGGAUCCAGGGGCCUUCAUGGAAAACCGGGAAUUCCAGGAACCCCAGGACUGCCGGGACUCCCUGGCCUCGAAGGACCCAUCGGUCGUCCUGGACUCCCAGGAUGCAAUGGGACAAAGGGGGACGUUGGAUACCCAGGGUUCCCUGGGGUUUCAGGACCUGCCGGUCUGCAGGGAGAACGAGGACCACGAGGCCCUAAGGGAGACUCACUGGUCUUCUCAGUCCCUCUGGACAUUAAAGGGUUAAGGGGACCCCAGGGACCAACUGGAGAUAAGGGACAGCCCGGGCUGCAGGGUCAACCAGGUCUUACAGGACCUCCAGGAUCCCUUGGAUUUCCAGGAAGUCCAGGACUGUCAGGUUUAACGGGAGAGAAGGGUCAGGAGGGUCCUAGUCCAGUGAUCCCAGGACCUCAAGGACAGAAGGGCGAUCGUGGUCCACCGGGGAUUCCAGGACAGAAAGGAAUCAAACUGUACGCCGAAGGACCCAAAGAACUGAAGGGUGAACCAGGUGAUGUUGGACCGAAGGGAUGUCGAGGACCACCUGGUCUCCCAGGGAGGCUGGGCAUUAAAGGACAGAAAGGCAACCCUGGUGACCCUGGAUCAGUGGGCAAACCUGGGAAAGACGGGUUCCCCGGAGAACUUGGAGAACAGGGAGACCCUGGGGUCCGUGGAGACCUCGGUCCUCCAGGUAUCGAAGGAGCCCAGGGUGAGAAAGGUGAGCGAGGGUCUACAGGUGAACCAGGACAGACCCUCUGGAGACACAUUGUCCUGAAGGGACAGAGGGGAGUCCCCGGGAUCCGAGGCCCCCAAGGAGCUGCUGGAGAAAUAGGGAUCAUUGGUUUUCCUGGACUUCAGGGUGAAGCAGGUGUGGGUCUCCCUGGUCCAAUGGGCCCCCAAGGCCCGCCUGGUUUCACCGGAUCUAAAGGAGAACCAGGAGAUCCGGGUCCCUUCAUCAUUGGACCCCCAGGAAAGACCGGAGUCCCAGGUGCACCCGGACCUGUGGGAGAACCAGGAGAACCAGGAGUACCAGAUUUCCUGCCGGGGGGUGUCGGCGCUCCAGGAGUCAAAGGUGCGAAAGGGUUGAUGGGACUUCCUGGGACCAGAGGAGCGUACGGAGCACCAGGUGAGAAGGGGGAGCUGUGCACAACCUGUACAUUUGUUUACGGACGCCCUGGACCCCCAGGUGAUCCAGGAGAACCAGGUGAAGACGGGGUUCUAGGUCCAGUGGGUUUGCCUGGUCCCAAAGGUCAUAGAGGGGUCAAAGGUGUCAGCGGUCCACCUGGUCCACAGGGAACUUUUGGUUUUCCUGGACUACCUGGACCUCCAGGGCCUGUUGGAGAACCUGGGAUUAUGCAGAGGGUGGGACAAAAGGGUGAGGAUGGAGUCCAAGGGGUGCAGGGUCCUCCUGGUGUCGAUGGGCCCGACGGAUCCUCCGGAGUCCCAGGACCCAAAGGAAAUCAGGGACAGAGAGGAAACCCUGGGCCUCCGGGGCCAAAGGGGGACCAGGGUCCUUUUGGAGAGACCGGUCCCAGAGGACCAAUAGGGCAAGUGGGCCCUCCAGGACCUUCUGGUAUUGGACGUCCAGGACCUCCAGGACCACCAGGAGACAUGGGAGUGAUAGGGCAGCGAGGAGAUCCUGGAAAACCAGGGGAAAAAGGUGCUCCAGGUGAAAUCCGAACAGCUCCUGGAGAUCCAGGUCCAAAAGGGGUCAAAGGUGUACCUGGAAGCCCAGGACAUGAAGGUAUGACUGGACGUAUAGGUGAUCCAGGACCUGUUGGACCAAAUGGAGAAAAAGGAGAUGCAGGAUUUUCUGUGCAGGGUCCUCCAGGCUUCCCCGGGGUCAAAGGUGUCAAAGGCCUGCCAGGAGCUCCAGGUUUACCAAGUUUUGGUAUCAAAGGGCGAGCCGGACCAUCGGGACCCCCGGGGAUGCCAGGCCCCAAGGGGGUUCUGGGUCUGGGUUUUCCAGGCCAACAGGGUCAGACAGGUCCUCAGGGAGAAGAAGGAUCUGUAGGACCUCAGGGAAACCCUGGAUCUCCAGGACCAGAUGGAGCUCCUGGACCUCCAGGACAGGAUGGAUUAAUAGGACCAAAAGGUCGCCGUGGUCUGGAUGGAGUACCAGGUCCAGUUGGAUCGGUGGGACCAUGUUUUCCAGGACUACCAGGACCUGAUGGAAAGCCAGGAGACAUGGGCAACAUGGGCUUCCCAGGGAUCCGGGGCCCAAAGGGUCUGCAAGGCGACCCCGGACCCCCGGGUGUGGGAUCCAUGGGGCCUCAGGGACCAUAUGGGACCCCGGGGUUUGGUGGAAUUCCAGGACCAUCAGGGAGGGUGGGACUGAAAGGACCAAAGGGGGCUGAUGGGGAUCCAGGGAGUCCAGGGCCCAGAGGAGACGUGGGCCCUCCAGGACCCUUAGGGAGUCCAGGUGUUGAUGGAAAACCAGGAGAAGACGGACUCCCGGGACUCAAAGGUGACAUGGGCGUAGGUGGGUCCAGAGGUGUCCAAGGGCCUCCGGGGCCUCAGGGGGACCGAGGACCGACCGGACUGAAGGGAGUCCAGACUUCAGUGGACAUGUUGGGAGAUCCGGGAGACCCUGGACCAUCUGGAUCCCCUGGUCUCACUGGUGCUAAAGGAGAAAAAGGUGUCCUCGGAUUUCAGGGUCCAGAUGGAAAUAACGGUAGACCUGGACCCCUCGGACCACAAGGCCUUCCUGGAGACCCUGGUACUGUUGGAGAAACUGGUCCUCCUGGAACUAGUGGUCCUCUGGGUAAUCCAGGAGAAAUGGGUAAACCGGGUGUUAAAGGGGAGCGAGGAUGGCCUGGACCAUGUGGGAGUCCUGGUUCAGAUGGAGCACCAGGACUGGCAGGCCCCAAAGGUACUAAAGGAGAACCGAGUCUACCUGGAUCAGGAUCUGAGGGACCCCUAGGACAGAAGGGUGAACCAGGACUUCCAGGUUCUCCAGGUGUAAAAGGGGAAAUGGGAGACCGUGGAGCCUUUGGACCUCCAGGAAAAUGUGGCCCCUGCGGCAGUAAAGGACUCCCAGGACCACCAGGAUGCAGAGGUCCUCCUGGAUCUCCUGGUGAAAAAGGUUGUGAUGGACCUCCAGGAAGUAAUGGGCCUCCAGGACCAACAGGACUCACAGGUAAUAAGGGGGCUCCUGGAGAUCCUGGUCCAGCAGGGUCCAGAGGAAACCAGGGACAAGAUGGGAUUCCUGGACCUCCAGGAGAGAAAGGAGCUAUGGGAGCUCCUGGUACUGGACCUAGAGGACCAGAGGGGUCCAAAGGUCCACCUGGGUGCACUGGAGAAAAGGGUCCUCCUGGCCCAUGUGGUCCACCUGGUCCUCCCGGUCCUGAAGGAAAUCAGGGUUUUCCUGGUCCUCCUGGACCCCUCGGUCCUUCUGGUUGUCCUGGUAAAGAUGGAAUCUGCACUGAGGGAAACAAAGGAGAAGUUGGAUACCCUGGAGCGAAAGGAGUCAAAGGUCCUCCUGGAUGUAAGGGUCCUCCUGGUCCUCCAGGUCCUGGUUUUAAAGGAGACAAAGGGUCUAAAGGAGCACCAGGUGAACCAGGAAAAUCGGCCUGUCCUGGUGAUCCUGGUCCUCAAGGGAAAACGGGUGAGGACGGACCCCCAGGCCCUCCUGGACCCAAAGGCUGCAUGGGAGAGACCGGUGUCACCGGACCUGUGGGUGUGAAAGGGGACGAGGGGCCUCGAGGACCAGAGGGCCUGCCUGGACCCCCGGGACCACCUGGGAGGAGAGGACAGAGGGGCCAGGACAGAAACAGGGAAGUGGUUCUGAUCCCAGGAGACCCGGGUGAAGCCGGACCCCAGGGUCUACCAGGACAGACAGGACCUCCAGGGGCUCGGGGGAGACCUGGACUUCCAGGUUUCAAAGGUAGCAGAGGAGGAGCUGGUCUAAGAGGACGGAUUGGUUUUCCUGGACUUUCUGGAGACCCGGGUGACCAAGGACUCACAGGACUCAAAGGUGCAGAAGGUUUUCAAGGACCAGUUGGUAGGAAAGGUGUACCUGGUCCUCCGGGGUCCGGUGGGAACCCCCCUGAGAAGGACGGGUUCCUGUUCACCAGACACAGCCAGAACCUCUUCAUCCCACAAUGCCCUGCAGGAUCCAGUCAGCUGUACACAGGAUACUCACUGCUGUUCAUCAACGGAAACAACCGAGCCCACGGACAAGACCUGGGUACCCUGGGCAGCUGUCUACCUCGGUUCACCACCAUGCCCUUCCUCUUCUGUAACACCGACAGCACCUGCCGCUACGCCUCACGCAACGACUACUCCUAUUGGCUGUCCACGAACCAAUCGCUGCCAGCCAGUAUCCCAUUCAUCUCCGAGGGUUCCUUAAAGAAUUUCAUCAGCAGGUGUGCUGUAUGUGAGGCCAGAGCCAAUGUGAUUGCAGUCCACAGUCAGACCAGGCGGAUCCCAGACUGUCCCUCUGGAUGGGACUCCCUCUGGUCCGGAUACUCCUUUGUCAUGGAAACAGGAGUAGGUGCGGAGGGAUCUGGUCAACCACUGGCCUCUCCUGGAUCCUGUCUGGAGAACUUCAGGAAGAUUCCUUUUAUCGAGUGUCACGGCAGAGGAACCUGCAACUACUACACCGACUCCUACAGCUACUGGCUGGCAGCACUGAACCCCAACAACAUGUUCAGUAAACCUCAGCCUCAGACAGAUAACGCCGUGUUUCCAGGACGCCUGAUCAGCCGCUGUCAGGUCUGCAUGAAGAGGCUGUGAGCAGAAAGACCACAUGGAUCAGACUCGCCGUACUGGGGUCCUCAGGCCCCCCCACCCCCACCCCCCGCUGCCGUUGUCCUUCCGCUGUCCCUCUGUCCUGGGUUCUGAUGAUGACUCACAGACACCUGUGUAACUCAACCAGCGACCUGGGUUCCGACUUCAGCGUCUGACAGUUGAACUCUCAUCAACAGUCACUUCAGUCUUCUCUGAACCGAUGGAACUGUUUACAGCAGAGUCAGUUUUAAUGUUUUUAACGGAGGUUUUCAGUUAUGGCUGAAGAAGAACCACUGUUUUCAUAUCUAAUACUUCUGCAUAGACUGUAGUAUUUGUAUUACCUGUAUGUGUACUUGUACUGCAUUUUAUUUGGUUAUCUUUUUUUUUUUUUGUAGUUUUUUCUUUCCAACCUUUGUUUAUUUGGAGUUUUGUAGAAAUUGGGCAAUACAAACACUGUAUCAUAUGU